AUCUUUAUACUCUUCGUUUGUCAUUUUAGUAAAAUUAUUUUUUCUCGUGAUUUUUUAUCCUCUUCGGAGGGGUUUUUCCAUGCAAAAUAUUUGUAUUCGAUAUUUUUAAUUUCUUUGCUAUUUUACUUGUUCGUUGCUUAAUCGGGUUUAUCCUCAACAAAGUGGUAUCAGAGUUAAUUCGAUUUUAGCAAUCAAUCCAUUCAGAGAUGGCAGCAACAAGAUUUGAUAUUGAUAAGUUCGAUGGUAUCACAAAUUUUAAUAUGUAACAAGUUCGGAUGAUGGCUGUAAUACCGAAAUUUUACCCAGCCUACAAAAACAAGCUCAAAUUACAAUGGGCCUAUGUGGCCCAAAAUCCAGAAUAAACAAUGGCCCAAAACAAUGUCAGAAACUCCUAGGGUUUCUGAGGAAACCUUUGCGCCGCAACCACCAAGCACCACAGCCCCGGAUCUUUACCUGCAUAGCAAAUAAACGCAAGAAAGGAAACAAGAUCAAAGAUUGCAAAUCAAGAAGAAAUCAAAUAGAUUUUUUUUUCCUUUAUAUAUUUUAUUAUUAGGGUUAUAAAAGGGGAUUGAAUAUACUGUAACAAGGGAGGAAUCGAUAAAAAAAAGGGAAAAGGGGGAAAGGAAUGUUGUAUUGAAAAAAAAAAUACAAGAACAAAGAAUCAGAAAACAUUUUUUUGAAAGGUGAUUUUCGUCAUUUUUAGAGUUUUUUUCGAUUUUUGUUUACAUGUUUUUAUAUCUUCUAAUAGUAGAAAAUAAAAAGAAAAGAAAGAAUGGAGGUGCUUACCUUUGGUUCGGUCUCUUCAAACUGCCGUCAAGGGUGGUGCUUUGGGCGGCGUCAUGGCAGUGGUGUGGCUGGGUUUGGGUUAAGAAAAGAACCCUAGCAGAGAGUUCUCCCUUCCCUUCUCUGUUUUUGGAGAAAAUGAAAUGAAAUGUUUUGUUAAAAGUUUUUUUUAGGGUUUGAAAAAUAGUGUCGUUUAAUGGCUAUGGAUUUGCCUGUUUGGACCCUUGGUGGGCUAUUUA
rnacentral:lncRNA from 1 species